UUAUGCAAUUUCAAUUUUGUAAAUUUCUUAAUACUAUUGAAAUAUUUUCUUUAGAGCUAAUUUGGAGGCUACAAAGGAAGGGAAUAAUAACAAUAGAAGCAUUUUUAAUACAAGCUUUAAAUCAAGCAAAUAUUUUGGCAUUGUUCAGUAGAUCUCUUGUUAAUUUAUGCUUAUUGAUGGAUGGUGAUGAAACAGAAAUAAAAUUAAGUAUAUUAACAG